rnacentral:rRNA from 1 species
GACAGAGGGGGCAAGCGUUGUUCGGAAUCACUGGGCGUAAAGGGCGCGUAGGCGGGAUGGCAAGUCAGUCGUGAAAUCUCUCGGCUCAACCGAGAAACGUCGGCUGAUACUGCCGUUCUUGAGGGAUGCAGAGGAGACUGGAAUUCCCGGUGUAGCGGUGAAAUGUGUAGAGAUCGGGAGGAACACCGGUGGCGAAGGCGGGUCUCUGGGCAUCUCCUGACGCUGAGGCGCGAAAGCGUGGGGAGCAAACGGG